GGACCCGCACAAGUAGUGGAGCAUGUGGUUUAAUUCGAAGAUACGCGCAGAACCUUACCAACACUUGACAUGUUCGUCGCGACUCUAAGAGAUUAGAGUUUUCGGUUCGGCCGGACGAAACACAGGUGCUGCAUGGCUGUCGUCAGCUCGUGUCGUGAGAUGUUGGGUUAAGUCCCGCAACGAGCGCAACCCUCACUUUUAGUUGCCAUCAUUUAGUUGGGCACUCUGAAAGAACUGCCAGUGAUAAGCUGGAGGAAGGUGGGGAUGACGUCAAGUCCUCAUGGCCCUUACGUGUUGGGCUACACACGUGCUACAAUGGUAUCUACAAAAGGAAGCAAGACCGCGAGGUUAAG
rnacentral:rRNA from 1 species